rnacentral:rRNA from 1 species
UCUGGUUGAUCCUGCCAGUAGUCAUAUGCUUAUCUCAAAGAUUAAGCCAUGCAUGUCUAAGUACACGAUUUUAUAUAUCGAAACCGCGGAUGGCUCAUUAUAACAGCUAUGAUUUGAGAGAUAUUAUCAUUUGCCACAAGAUAACUGUGGUAAAAUAACUGUGGUAAUUCUAGAGCUAAUAUUUUAUAGAAUGUCGUGACUCACGAAGCGGCGGAUUUAUUAGAUCAAAACUAACCUGUCCUAGACGCUGGAUAACUUUAUUGAUCGUACGACCUCUGUGUUGACGACGAAUCUCUUGAAAUGGCUGACCUAUCAACUUUCGAUAGUAAGAUCAAAGCUUACCAUGGUUGUAACGGGUAACGGGGAAUCAUUGUUCGAUUUUGGAGAGGGAGCCUGAGAAACGGCUACCACAUCCACGGAAGGCAGCNCCUGAGAAACGGCUACCACAUCCAUGGAAGGCAGCAGGUGCGAAAAUUACCCAAUGCCGGUUCGGCGAGGUAGUGACAAUAAAUAACAAUAUUGACCCUAGUGGUUUCAUAAUUGCAAUGAAAUUAUUUUAAAUACUUUUUCAAGUAUCAAUUGGAGAGCAAGUCUGGUGCCAGCAGCCACCGUAAUUAUAGUUCCAAAAGCGUAUAUUAAAGUUGUUGCAGUUAAAAAGCUCGUAGUUGAAAUUGAGGUAGAUGUAAUUUGAAAUCUUAUGAUUGAUUAUUACUAUACCUUUUCUUCGUGUAUAUUAGUGAGGGACUNUUAUUGCUAUACCUUUUCUUCGUGUAUAUUAGUGAGGGACUUAAUUGUUUUUUACUAGUAACCGAAAUGCUUACUUUGAAAAAAUUAGAGUGCUUAAAGCAGGCUUACACUUGUAUAUUGUUGCAUGAAAUAAUAAAAUAGGACUUUGGUUUUAUUUUUUUUGGUUUUCUUAACUAAAGUAAUGAUUAAAAGACACUGCCGGGGGAAUAUGUAUGCUGGUACUAGAAGUGAAAUCUUAGACCAUCAGCAGACAAACUACUGCGAAAGCAUUUGCCAAGAAUGUUUUCAUUAAUCAAGAACGAAAGUCAGAGGAUCGAAGACGAUCAGAUACCGUCCUAGUUCUGACCAUAAACUAUGCCAACUGACAGUUAGUAAAGAUGAAUUAUUUCUUCUUACUAGAAGUCACCGGGAAACCAAAGUCUUUGGGUUCCGGGGGAAGUAUGGUUGCAAAGCUGAAACUUAAAGGAAUUGACGGAAGGGCACCACAAGGAGUGGAGCCUGCGGCUUAAUUUGACUCAACACGGGAAAUCUCACCCGGUCCGGACACUGUGAGGAUUGACAGAUUGAUAGCUCUUUCUUGAUUCGGUGGGUGGUGGUGCAUGGCCGUUCUUAGUUGGUGGAGCGAUUUGUC